AACGAACGCUGGCGGCAUGCCUAACACAUGCAAGUCGAACGCCCGUAGCAAUACGGGAGUGGCAGACGGGUGCAUAACACGUGGGAACCUACCCUAGGGUUCGGAAUAACCGCGGGAAACUGCGGCUAAUACCGGAUACGUCCUCUGGGAGAAAGAUUUAUCGCCCUUGGAGGGGCCCGCGUCGGAUUAGCUAGUUGGUGAGGUAACGGCUCACCAAGGCGACGAUCCGUAGCUGAUCUGAGAGGAUGAUCAGCCACACUGGAACUGAGACACGGUCCAGACUCCUACGGGAGGCAGCAGUGGGGAAUAUUGGACAAUGGGCGCAAGCCUGAUCCAGCAAUGCCGCGUGGGUGAUGAAGGCCUUCAGGUUGUAAAGCCCUUUUGGCAGGGACGAUGAUGACGGUACCUGCAGAAUAAGCCCCGGCUAACUUCGUGCCAGCCGCCGCUGUAA
rnacentral:rRNA from 1 species